CCUACGGGAGGCUGCAGUGAGGAAGAUUGGUCAAUGGACGAGAGUCUGAACCAGCCAAGUAGCGUGAAGGAUGACUGCCCUAUGGGUGGUAAACUUCGUUUAUAGGGGAAGAAAACAGGGUAGGCAUACCCUCUUGUAUGUACCAUAGGAAUAAGGAUCGGCUAACGCCGUGCCAGCAGCCGCGGUAAGACGGAGGAUCCGAGCGUUAUCCGGAUUUAUUGGGUGGAAAGGGAGCGUAGGUUGAUUGUUAAGUCAGUUGUGAAAGUGUGCGGCUCAACCGUAAAAUUUCAGUUGAAACUGGCAGUCUUGCGUACAGUAGCGGUGGUCGGAAUUCGUUGUGUAGCGG
rnacentral:rRNA from 1 species